rnacentral:rRNA from 1 species
CCUACGGGCGGCAGCAGUGAGGAAUAUUGGUCAAUGGGCGUAAGCCUGAACCAGCCAAGUAGCGUGAGGGAUGAAUGUCCUACGGGUUGUAAACUUCUUUUAUAAGGGAAUAAAGUGUGGCACGUGUCCCGUUUUGUAUGUACUUUAUGAAUAAGGAUCGGCUAACUCCGUGCCAGCAGCCGCGGUAAUACGGAGGAUCCGAGCGUUAUCCGGAUUUAUUGGGUUUAAAGGGAGCGUAGAUGGGUUUUUAAGUCAGGUGUGAAAGUUUGCGGCUCAAACGUAAAAUUGCAAUUGAUACUGGCAGCCUUGAGUAUAGUUGAGGUAGGCGGAAUUCGUGGUGUAGCGGUGAAAUGCUUAGAUAUCACGAAGAACCCCGAUUGCGAAGGCAGCUUACCAAACUGCCACUGACACUGAUGCUCGAAAGCGUGGGUAUCAAACAGGAUUAGAUACCCGGGUAGUC